ACUUCCCCGGCGUCGCCGCCGUCGUCCACCACCACCCCCACCGCGCCCCCACCCUCUCCUCGUUGCUGCCGGCCCCCACCUUCUCCCAAUCCCCUCACCUUCUCUCCCAUGGCCGGUGGAUUCGCCCCUCGCGGGAUCGAUUCCUCCGAGCCGACGGGGUCUUCAGGGCCGGACGGGAGCGGCACGUCCCCCAUCGGCGCGUUGGUGAGCGCGGCGGCGGCCGUGGCCGAGCUCGAGCCCGUAGCUCAGAUCCUUCAGGGCCGGACGGGAGCGGCGCGUCCCCCAUCGGUGCAUUGGUGAGCGCGGCGGCGGCCGUGGCCAAGCUCGAGCCCGCAGCUCAGAUCCGCAGGAUCCCGUCAAGAGCCUCGGCCCAUCCCAUGGAGAAGAUGUUGCGGCUCUUCUAGCUCCCCUCCCCUGCGCAGGUUGUGGGUACAACCGUAACCAGCAAAUCAGCCCCAUCUGCAGCAAAUCAGCCUGAGGAGGUGGAGGAGCAGGCACCCAGAACCAACAUGGUUGCAGGAAUAGCUUUAUAUUAGGAGCAGCUUCUCCACCACCACUCAGCGGUAGAGGGGGUGUGCUUCUUCCCCAACACAACAUAGCGGCAGCCACGGUAUCCUCGGCCCUCUCCCUCUAUCUACCCUCUUCUGUUCCUUACCGAAAAAUCAUUUUUUUACCUUGUAUAAUACUUGUGAUUUGGACCGAUUUGUGUUUUGGGGGGCAUCAAUUUGGUGCUUCCCCCGUCCAUGUGCUGCAGAGAAAAGGAGAAGAAGGGGAUGGAUGAGCAAGGAGCAGAAGGACCUGAAGAAGAAGGGCAAGGGAGGUGGGGCGAUAUGCAUGUCCAGGGAGGGUAUGGUGGACGACCAGUUCCGGCAGCUGCAGUCGCUGCAGGAGGAUAGCGGCAGCGCGUCGGGCUUCGUCGCCGGGGUCGCCACCCUCUUCAUCGACGACGCCGACCGGAUCAUCAACGACAUCGGCAGCCUGCUGGACGUCGGCGGAACCUAGCCACCACUCCCCGUCUCGCCCCUCGUUGAUUACUUGCCGUGCUCGAUUUUUCCUUCCACGGACGAUUCUGUCAUUCGCCUCUACCGUCGGUGGUCGUGCCAGUCAUGCUCCUACUGGGACAUGCAUCCUUUAGCUAGAUUCAUCUUUGUUUGAUGUAGUUCUUUGUGAUCUGAAAGCAACUGACUACUCAAUACCAAUCAGUGCAUGGAGGGAACUCAUGUCCACCACGCCGGCGACAGGAACAUGGAAAACGCAGUCCACGGUGCCACCAAUGAACAAGAGCUGAUCAGCCCAAAGUCUAUGGUUAAUGCCAUUCUUGGUAACAUUGGUCUGCCUGUUGCAAAACAAACAAGGACUACAAGAACUACAAUGGAUGUGCCGAGACAAGCAUUGUAAGGAUCCCAGUUAGAAUGAUGCUUGAUCUCCUGCUAGAGCAUCUUGGGCUUCACAAGGCCAUCUGAGACUCGGGCUCAAUGAGAACACAAUGAGAGUCAUUCUCUCUGACACUGCUGUUCAAGACGACUGGACCUGUCCACCGCGCAUGCCCAUUACCGGUGUAUGAACAUUGCAUCCUUUAAUUUACCCUGUAUAUGAACAUUCCAUUCUUCAAAUGUGUUGUACUAUCAUUCUGGUGGCUAUGGAGAUGUGUUGUACUGUAGUUUUGGUAUCCAUUGAUGAUGUCUUGCUCCGAUUACACUUGAAUCUGUA